rnacentral:lncRNA from 1 species
CGGGAAGCAGAUGCUCAGGGCUCUGUGACUGCAGGCUUGCUGACAGUUUGCGGCACUGCUCCGCCUGGUUAGUGUACAUUGCCAGCAAAGCUUUGUUGAAUUCAAUUGCCUGAAGCUGUUUCUUGGAGAGUUUAUGCUCAACACCUUCUGCAUUGGUCAGCUUCACCUUCUUCUUUGAGUCAAAAACAUUUUGGUCCUUGUUAAUUGUGAUGAUAUUAUUUGCAAUGACGGCAAGCAGUCCUACAUCUGUUGGCUUCAACUUGAUUAUUUGAUUGUAGAGUUGUAGAGCAUCCUCUGUACGACCCUGCAGUUGCAUGAUAUAUGCCAUCUGACCAUGAAUAAUGGCGAGCUCAGCCUCAAUAUCUUCUUCAGUCACAUCAGAGUCUUCUGAGAGUGACUGGCGACACAGCUCUUCUGCUUUCUGUAGUUUCUUCAUUGCUUCAUUCAGCUUUCCUUGUCCAAUCAACGCACACGCGUUGUUAUAACACAGCUCGUAGGUAGCUUCUCGAAGGCCCAAGUUUUCUGGCGUUACUCUCUCCCAUGUACUUUGUGCUGCCACAACAGCAGAGAGGUUGGUUUUUCGUUCUUCCUCAUACUCAUCCUGGGAGUUGCGGAUGAGAUCCCGGUAUGCAGCCAGACAAUCAUCAUAACGCUCCAACCUGUA